UGGACUACAAAACUUCGGGCACAGUGU
rnacentral:piRNA from 1 species